GACGAACGCUGGCGGCGUGCUUAACACAUGCAAGUCGAACGCUGAAGCUCAGCUUUUGUUGGGUGGAUGAGUGGCGAACGGGUGAGUAACACGUGAGUAACCUGCCUCCUUCUUUGGGAUAACGCCCGGAAACGGGUGCUAAUACUGGAUAUUCACUGGUCUUCGCAUGGGGGUUGGUGGAAAGGGUUUUUCUGGUGGGGGAUGGGCUCGCGGCCUAUCAGCUUGUUGGUGGGGUGAUGGCCUACCAAGGCUUUGACGGGUAGCCGGCCUGAGAGGGUGACCGGUCACAUUGGGACUGAGAUACGGCCCAGACUCCUACGGGAGGCAGCAGUGGGGAAUAUUGCACAAUGGGCGCAAGCCUGAUGCAGCGACGCCGCGUGAGGGAUGGAGGCCUUCGGGUUGUGAACCUCUUUCGCUCAUGGUCAAGCCGCAACAAUGGUUGUGGUGAGGGUAGUGGGUAAAGAAGCGCCGGCUAACCACGUG
rnacentral:rRNA from 1 species